AGUUGCCAAAAUUAGGGUAAAUUCAGCACCUGACUUUUAAUCAGGGUGUCCAGGGUUCGAGACCCUGACGGCCUG
rnacentral:tRNA from 1 species